ensembl:snRNA U5 U5 spliceosomal RNA
AUAAGCGUACACUCUUCAGUUUGUAUAAAUCUUUCGCCUUUUAAGAAAGAUUUUCAUGGAGAGGAACAAUGAGAGUUUUAAGCAUUUUUUUGAUGCCCUGCUUACCCUUUCAUGUA